GGCAGCACGGGUGCUUGCACCUGGUGGCGAGUGGCGAACGGGUGAGUAAUACAUCGGAACAUGUCCUGUAGUGGGGGAUAGCCCGGCGAAAGCCGGAUUAAUACCGCAUACGAUCUAUGGAUGAAAGCGGGGGACCUUCGGGCCUCGCGCUAUAGGGUUGGCCGAUGGCUGAUUAGCUAGUUGGUGGGGUAAAGGCCUACCAAGGCGACGAUCAGUAGCUGGUCUGAGAGGACGACCAGCCACACUGGGACUGAGACACGGCCCAGACUCCUACGGGAGGCAGCAGUGGGGAAUUUUGGACAAUGGGCGAAAGCCUGAUCCAGCAAUGCCGCGUGUGUGAAGAAGGCCUUCGGGUUGUAAAGCACUUUUGUCCGGAAAGAAAUCCUUGGCUCUAAUACAGUCGGGGGAUGACGGUACCGGAAGAAUAAGCACCGGCUAACUACGUGCCAGCAGCCGCGGUAAUACGUAGGGUGCAAGCGUUAAUCGGAAUUACUGGGCGUAAAGCGUGCGCAGGCGGUUUGCUAAGACCGAUGUGAAAUCCCCGGGCUCAACCUGGGAACUGCAUUGGUGACUGGCAGGCUAGAGUAUGGCAGAGGGGGGUAGAAUUCCACGUGUAGCAGUGAAAUGCGUAGAGAUGUGGAGGAAUACCGAUGGCGAAGGCAGCCCCCCUGGGCCAAUACUGACGCUCAUGCACGAAAGCGUGGGGGAGCAAACAGGAUUAGAUACCCUGGUAGUCCACGCCCUAAACGAUGUCAACUAGUUGUUGGGGAUUCAUUUCCCUAGUAACGUAGCUAACGCGUGAAGUGACCGCCUUGGGGAGUACGGUCGCAAGAUUAAAACUCAAAGGAAUUGACGGGGACC
rnacentral:rRNA from 1 species